UACGAAGGGGGGCUAGCGUUGUUCGGAAUUACUGGGCGUAAAGCGCGCGCAGGCGGUCUUCCAAGUCAGUGGUGAAAGCCUGGAGCUCAACUCCAGAACUGCCAUUGAAACUGUUAGACUUGAGUACGAGAGAGGUGAGUGGAAUUCCCAGUGUAGAGGUGAAAUUCGUAGAUAUUGGGAAGAACACCAGUGGCGAAGGCGGCUCACUGGCUCGUAACUGACGCUCAGGCGCGACAGCGUGGGGAGUCGAAACAGG
rnacentral:rRNA from 1 species